GAGCAGUGAGGGCACUAUUUAUUUGUCGGAUAGAUCGAGUUGUGUGAUCAGAGGCAUCGAGACGAUCAGUUGAAAGAUACAUGAUGGUGUAGUAAGGAGAUUGGGAGAGAUCUAAUACAUAUCCAAUUUCAGGUGGAAUCUUAUCUCACUGAGCAAACUGGAUUCGAGAGGCUAUAGAACGGUAACUGAUGGAGAAAUCCUGAAGGUCAUGCAUGGUGAUAGGGUUAUUCUAAAGGAAAAGAAGAGGAUGAGAGGAUAUUACUACCUGAUGGAGAGCCCAGUGCGAGAUGAAGUUUCAGGAGCCAGGAGGAGGCCAG
rnacentral:lncRNA from 1 species